ACGAACGCUGGCGGCGUGCUUCACACAUGCAAGUCGAACGGAAAGGCCCUGCUUUUGUGGGGUGCUCGAGUGGCGAACGGGUGAGUAACACGUGAGUAACCUGCCCUUGACUUUGGGAUAACUUCAGGAAACUGGGGCUAAUACCGGAUAGGAGCUCCUGCUGCAUGGUGGGGGUUGGAAAGUUUCGGCGGUUGGGGAUGGACUCGCGGCUUAUCAGCUUGUUGGUGGGGUAGUGGCUUACCAAGGCUUUGACGGGUAGCCGGCCUGAGAGGGUGACCGGCCACAUUGGGACUGAGAUACGGCCCAGACUCCUACGGGAGGCAGCAGUGGGGAAUAUUGCACAAUGGGCGGAAGCCUGAUGCAGCAACGCCGCGUGCGGGAUGACGGCCUUCGGGUUGUAAACCGCUUCCGCCUGUGACGAAGCGUGAGUGACGGUAAUGGGUAAAGAAGCACCGGCUAACUACGUG
rnacentral:rRNA from 1 species